CUGACAAAUUUUGGUAUGGAUAGUUUCAAUUCAUCGAAUAUAUCAUUAUAACUUCUUUGUACAGUAGAGAAAAUAAUUUUGAGGCGGAAAACUAUUUUCUACUUAUGCUCAAAACUCAAAAAUACCUUCUUUUUUUUUUGUUUUUUUUAACCUAGCACUUGAAAUUAUCAAAAAAAUACGAGUAAUAUUUUAAAUAUUGAACCUUUACCAAACAUGCUAUUAAGGGUCUAAAGCAGAUGUCUCUGAAUUCAAUUCCUAUAAAUGUAAGACUUGUUAAUUUGCUAUUUAUCUAAACUUGGAGGCAAAUUAGCAAUUUUUAAAAGUCGAAAGGAUCUGAAUACUAAAGUUUGAGCUUCAUUUUUUCCCCCUCUAAAAUCUAUGUCUUUAAAUCAACAGUUGCAGCUCUGCAUUCUUGAGGAAUGAAAACUAUUUACGAUGGCAUUAUUUGUAAAUCGCAUAGGAACAAAAGAAUGAGCAGCAGUAGCAGAAGCUUUGGAUUGAAAAAUGUGAAGUCUAUUUUCAGCCUUACCAAUUACCACUGGCAUCUUCAGAGAAGGGCCUUGGAUAGUACAAGAGCAACUGUUAAAGACAACAGAACACAUGUAACUGAUUGAGCAACUGAUGUACUGAAAUGAGGUUGAAUUGUAAGGUACAAGCAAGACAUUAUGUAAGACAAUGUCUGAAGUCAGUUAUAGGGAACCAAUAGAUACUACUUUCACUUUGUAAUCAUUAGGAGAGUAAUAAUAUAAGGAAAUGAAAGGGAGCAGUUGAAAAAAUGCUUUUAGUUCCCGAGAAUCUUGACCAAACAUGUCAUUAACCUGAUGUUGCAUUACUCAGUAUUAGCCCCCAUUAUGUUAUUCAUGUUCUGGAUGACCAGUCCAAGUAUGCUAGAGGCCCAUAGUGGCUGAGAGUAUGCAUGGACCAAAGGUUGAUUUAAGUCCAUAUCCUUUUUCUUCAGCACUUUCCUCUUAGUACUUAUUGCAAUAAAGUAUUCAAACAAGAAUAGUUUAUGUGGAACUGUAGAAUAACUUAUUUGAGCAAAAGGCUAGAAAUAUUUUUGGAUUUGGAUCUGCACAAUCAAAUAAUAUUUGUGGAAUUUAAAUGGACUAAAGGUCCAAGCAUAGGGAUGAUUUUGAAUAAAAUGAAUAGGAUAUGAUUUUCAAGAAGGUGAACAGGAUGUCUGUAGAAAGUGGUAAUAAGGCUCUCAAAAACCUAGAGGAACAGCAAAACAGGAAUGUUUGAAGACGAAUAUUCUAGGAAAAAGAUGUUCCCAGGUCAUCUGGUGACAUGGAAUGUAAUUUGGUGUAGGAAAUAGAAGUACUUUUAAUGUUAAACUUAUACUUGUUUGCUAAUAGGAAAAUAUUGCUUUCCAACAAAUUGAAUGUUAUGUCAUAGGAAGGGAUCAGGACUAUAGAAAGAUCCCUGUUGUUAGACUGCGAAAAAGUAAUGCCUGGCAUAGCGACGAUAAGCUCAAGACAAGUUUGUAGCUUCGUUUAGAUCCUUAGUUACCAUUGCGAGUGAGGGGCUAGAUAAACAUAUAGCAUUUUUUGGGCAGUAUAUGAUGGGACAUGGGAGUUUUAAGAAUCUGACUAGCUUCUUGAGUGGGAAGGGUAGAGAAAAUAGUGUUCUUAUUCUAUUGAGGCUGCAUGCUAAAAGUUCUAAACUAUUAGAGGUAUCAUGGAUUGUAAAGGGGCUGAAUCAUGUAAAGAAGAGGAGAUUGGUAAAAAGUUUGGUGCACACAUAGAUAGCUGGCAUCGUCUGCUUUCAAGAGACCAAGCUAGAAGGGGAUACUAGGGAAUAGUUAAAGAAUUGUGGGCAAAUACAUGGGGUAAAUUUGCACACUUCCACUUUUCACUUUUUUCGUUUCAUAAUCAUAUUCAUUGUGCUAUGCAUCUUGUUUUUCACAUUAAUAUAGUAAAAGGCCUGUAACAAUUUCUUGAACUCAAAUAGUCAGCACUUCGGACUGCUAGUCGCUGGUCCUUUGUCAUAAUGAUCCUUCUAAUAUGUCUAGCUAGAGAUUAAGGAUAUGACACCUUUCUGGGGAAUAUUUACUUAUCCUGAACUUGGAGGAUUUAUAUAAUUACACCAAUGUUGAGUUUCAUUGUCCUCUUCUUGCACUAACAAGCACUGUUCU